GAGAACGCUGGCGGCGUGCCUAACACAUGCAAGUCGAGCGAAUGAAGUUCCUUCGGGAAUGGAUUUAGCGGCGGACGGGUGAGUAACACGUGGGCAACCUGCCUCAUAGAGGGGAAUAGCCUUCCGAAAGGGAGAUUAAUACCGCAUAAGAUUGUAGUAUCGCAUGAUACAGCAAUUAAAGGAGCAAUCCGCUAUGAGAUGGGCCCGCGGCGCAUUAGCUAGUUGGUGAGGUAACGGCUCACCAAGGCGACGAUGCGUAGCCGACCUGAGAGGGUGAUCGGCCACAUUGGGACUGAGACACGGCCCAGACUCCUACGGGAGGCAGCAGUGGGGAAUAUUGCACAAUGGGGGAAACCCUGAUGCAGCAACGCCGCGUGAGUGAUGACGGCCUUCGGGUUGUAAAGCUCUGUCUUCAGGGACGAUAAUCGUACGGUACCCUGACGGAGGAAGCCACGGCUAACUACGUG
rnacentral:rRNA from 1 species